CAUUAGAUGGCUGAAGGCAAGCACUGGUCUCUUAAACCAUCUUAUAGUAGUUUAGCAUCUACUUCUAAUGA
rnacentral:tRNA from 1 species